rnacentral:tRNA from 4 species
GGGCUGGUAGCUCAGUUGGCAGAGCGCCCGCUUCGCACGCGGGAGGCCGCGGGUUCAAAUCCCGCCCAGUCCA